rnacentral:rRNA from 1 species
GGGUUGUGAGGUUAAGCGACUAAGCGUACACGGUGGAUGCCCUGGCAGUCAGAGGCGAUGAAGGACGUGCUAAUCUGCGAUAAGCGUCGGUAAGGUGAUAUGAACCGUUAUAACCGGCGAUUUCCGAAUGGGGAAACCCAGUGUGAUUCGUCACACUAUCAUUAACUGAAUCCAUAGGUUAAUGAGGCGAACCGGGGGAACUGAAACAUCUAAGUACCCCGAGGAAAAGAAAUCAACCGAGAUUCCCCCAGUAGCGGCGAGCGAACGGGGAGCAGCCCAGAGCCUGAAUCAGUGUGUGUGUUAGUGGAAGCGUCUGGAAAGGCGCGCGAUACAGGGUGACAGCCCCGUACACAAAAAUGCACAUGCUGUGAGCUCGAUGAGUAGGGCGGGACACGUGGUAUCCUGUCUGAAUAUGGGGGGACCAUCCUCCAAGGCUAAAUACUCCUGACUGACCGAUAGUGAACCAGUACCGUGAGGGAAAGGCGAAAAGAACCCCGGCGAGGGGAGUGAAAAAGAACCUGAAACCGUGUACGUACAAGCAGUGGGAGCACAGAGCAAUCUGUGUGACUGCGUACCUUUUGUAUAAUGGGUCAGCGACUUAUAUUCUGUAGCAAGGUUAACCGAAUAGGGGAGCCGAAGGGAAACCGAGUCUUAACUGGGCGUUAAGUUGCAGGGUAUAGACCCGAAACCCGGUGAUCUAGCCAUGGGCAGGUUGAAGGUUGGGUAACACUAACUGGAGGACCGAACCGACUAAUGUUGAAAAAUUAGCGGAUGACUUGUGGCUGGGGGUGAAAGGCCAAUCAAACCGGGAGAUAGCUGGUUCUCCCCGAAAGCUAUUUAGGUAGCGCCUCGUGAAUUCAUCUCCGGGGGUAGAGCACUGUUUCGGCAAGGGGGUCAUCCCGACUUACCAACCCGAUGCAAACUGCGAAUACCGGAGAAUGUUAUCACGGGAGACACACGGCGGGUGCUAACGUCCGUCGUGAAGAGGGAAACAACCCAGACCGCCAGCUAAGGUCCCAAAGUCAUGGUUAAGUGGGAAACGAUGUGGGAAGGCCCAGACAGCCAGGAUGUUGGCUUAGAAGCAGCCAUCAUUUAAAGAAAGCGUAAUAGCUCACUGGUCGAGUCGGCCUGCGCGGAAGAUGUAACGGGGCUAAACCAUGCACCGAAGCUGCGGCAGCGACGCUUAUGCGUUGUUGGGUAGGGGAGCGUUCUGUAAGCCUGUGAAGGUGUACUGUGAGGUAUGCUGGAGGUAUCAGAAGUGCGAAUGCUGACAUAAGUAACGAUAAAGCGGGUGAAAAGCCCGCUCGCCGGAAGACCAAGGGUUCCUGUCCAACGUUAAUCGGGGCAGGGUGAGUCGACCCCUAAGGCGAGGCCGAAAGGCGUAGUCGAUGGGAAACAGGUUAAUAUUCCUGUACUUGGUGUUACUGCGAAGGGGGGACGGAGAAGGCUAUGUUGGCCGGGCGACGGUUGUCCCGGUUUAAGCGUGUAGGCUGGUUUUCCAGGCAAAUCCGGAAAAUCAAGGCUGAGGCGUGAUGACGAGGCACUACGGUGCUGAAGCAACAAAUGCCCUGCUUCCAGGAAAAGCCUCUAAGCAUCAGGUAACAUCAAAUCGUACCCCAAACCGACACAGGUGGUCAGGUAGAGAAUACCAAGGCGCUUGAGAGAACUCGGGUGAAGGAACUAGGCAAAAUGGUGCCGUAACUUCGGGAGAAGGCACGCUGAUAUGUAGGUGAAGUCCCUCGCGGAUGGAGCUGAAAUCAGUCGAAGAUACCAGCUGGCUGCAACUGUUUAUUAAAAACACAGCACUGUGCAAACACGAAAGUGGACGUAUACGGUGUGACGCCUGCCCGGUGCCGGAAGGUUAAUUGAUGGGGUCAGCGCAAGCGAAGCUCUUGAUCGAAGCCCCGGUAAACGGCGGCCGUAACUAUAACGGUCCUAAGGUAGCGAAAUUCCUUGUCGGGUAAGUUCCGACCUGCACGAAUGGCGUAAUGAUGGCCAGGCUGUCUCCACCCGAGACUCAGUGAAAUUGAACUCGCUGUGAAGAUGCAGUGUACCCGCGGCAAGACGGAAAGACCCCGUGAACCUUUACUAUAGCUUGACACUGAACAUUGAGCCUUGAUGUGUAGGAUAGGUGGGAGGCUUUGAAGUGUGGACGCCAGUCUGCAUGGAGCCGACCUUGAAAUACCACCCUUUAAUGUUUGAUGUUCUAACGUGGACCCGUGAUCCGGGUUGCGGACAGUGUCUGGUGGGUAGUUUGACUGGGGCGGUCUCCUCCUAAAGAGUAACGGAGGAGCACGAAGGUUGGCUAAUCCUGGUCGGACAUCAGGAGGUUAGUGCAAUGGCAUAAGCCAGCUUGACUGCGAGCGUGACGGCGCGAGCAGGUGCGAAAGCAGGUCAUAGUGAUCCGGUGGUUCUGAAUGGAAGGGCCAUCGCUCAACGGAUAAAAGGUACUCCGGGGAUAACAGGCUGAUACCGCCCAAGAGUUCAUAUCGACGGCGGUGUUUGGCACCUCGAUGUCGGCUCAUCACAUCCUGGGGCUGAAGUAGGUCCCAAGGGUAUGGCUGUUCGCCAUUUAAAGUGGUACGCGAGCUGGGUUUAGAACGUCGUGAGACAGUUCGGUCCCUAUCUGCCGUGGGCGCUGGAGAACUGAGGGGGGCUGCUCCUAGUACGAGAGGACCGGAGUGGACGCAUCACUGGUGUUCGGGUUGUCAUGCCAAUGGCACUGCCCGGUAGCUAAAUGCGGAAGAGAUAAGUGCUGAAAGCAUCUAAGCACGAAACUUGCCCCGAGAUGAGUUCUCCCUGACUCCUUGAGAGUCCUGAAGGAACGUUGAAGACGACGACGUUGAUAGGCCGGGUGUGUAAGCGCAGCGAUGCGUUGAGCUAACCGGUACUAAUGAACCGUGAGGCUUAACCUUACAACGCCGAAGGUGUUU